UACUAAGCGGAGGAAAAGAAACCAACGGGGAUUCCCAUAGUAACUGCGAGUGAAAGGGGAACAGCCCAGCGCCGAAUCCUGCUGCUGGCAACGGUGGCAGGAACUGUGGCGUGAAGAAGGUGGUUACCGGUGUGGCUUGCUCGCGUAAGUUCUCCUGAGUGAGGCUCCAUCCCAUGGAGGGUGCAAGGCCCGUAUCGUGAGCAGUUGAUGCCGGUGUACACUUUCGGAGAGUCGCCUUGUUUGUGAGUACAAGGUGAAGUCGGUGGUAAACUCCAUCGAAGGCUAAAUAUGACCACGAGUCCGAUAGCGAACAAGUACCGUGAGGGAAAAUUGAAAAGCACUUUGAAGAGAGAGCGAAACAGUGCGUGAAACCGCUCAGAGGCAAGCAGAUGGGGCCUCGAAGGCAAAGCAGUGAAUUCAGCCGGUAUGGUGCGUGGCUGGUUGGUGUUGAGAUCGCAAGACUCUAGCUGAUUAUGCUUAGCGUAUCUGCCGGUGCACUUUCGCUGUUUGUACGUCACCGCCGUUGAGCGAGCAUCCGUCGGGUAUGCGUGUGAAGCCUUAUUCCUUCGGGCGUAGGUGCUUACUGCUAACUUGUACGCGUUUGCGCUUCAACCGGUCAUGUCAGCGUGUGCCAGCGUUAGCGUUGGGUCGGUAUGCUCUGUGGUGCGUUGUGGGAUGACGAGCUUGCUCGGCUCCUCAUCGUGCAAUAGACUCGUUGCCGGCUUUCAACGUGGGCACAUUGUAGAUUCGGUGGCGAGUAGAUGGCUGCCCAUCUAACCCGUCUUGAAACACGGACCAAGGAGUUCAACAUGCGCGCUAGUUGUUGGGACUUGAAGCCCGCUAGCAAAGUGAAAGCAAGACACAGUGAACGCUGUGUAUUGGCGAGAUCCCGUCACCUAGUUUACUAGGCCGGGCGCACCGCCGGCCCGUCAAAAGCUCAAGUGGCUUUGGCGGAGCUUGAGCGUGCACGUUGAGACCCGAAAGAUGGUGAACUAUGCCUGGGCAGGAUGAAGCCAGGGGAAACUCUGGUGGAGGUCCGUAGCGAUUCUGACGUGCAAAUCGAUCGUCUGACCUGGGUAUAGGGGCGAAAGACUAAUCGAACCAUCUAGUAGCUGGUUCCCUCCGAAGUUUCCCUCAGGAUAGCUGGCACUCGGAGAACGUAGUCUCUCCCGGUAAAGCGAAUGAUUAGAGGCCUUGGGGUCGAAACGACCUUAACCUAUUCUCAAACUUUAAAUGGGUGAGAAGUCCGGCUUGCUUAAAUGCGAAGCUGAAGUCCGGACGUUGGAUACGAGCGCCUAGUGGGCCACUUUUGGUAAGCAGAACUGGCGCUGUGGGAUGAACCGAACGCUGAGUUAUGGCGCCCGACGAGACGCUCAUCAGAUCCCAGAAAAGGUGUUGGUUGCUAUAGACAGCAGGACGGUGGCCAUGGAAGUCGGAACCCGCUAAGGAGUGUGU
rnacentral:rRNA from 1 species